CUCCUCUCCCGACUUCCCGAGUCCCGCUACGCAGCCGUCGCCUCCUACUCCCUUUGCGACUCCUCGCCCACAUCCAGCACUUGCACAUCAGCAACCUCAACCGCAAGGGAGGUGGCGAGGCUGAGCGCCAGCCGCCAUGUCUGUCCCCGGCGUCGCCUCCCCGAUCGCCGACCGCUUCUACUGCCCCCCACCGCACCGCCACCUCCUUGACAAGCAACACAGACAGCAUCCGCCACUAACUGCCUCGGCGGCCGAGGAGCCGGCGAAGCCGACGCCGGAGCUCGGGCGAGACCCUUCCCCGUCGCCUUCGCCGGCUACCAACCUCGAGAGUUUCAUCGCCUCCACCGCCGUCCGCGUUCCCGCGCGGUGCUCUCCUCGAACGCCGGGGUGCCGGGCAGGAGCGCCGUACUACGAGCUCGCGGAUCUGUGGGAGGCGUUCGGGGAGUGGAGCGCGUACGGCGCCGGCGUGCCGCUGCUGCUCAAUGGCACGGAUGGCGUCGUGCAGUACUACGUGCCAUUCCUGUCCGCUAUCCAGCUCUAUGGGUCGCGGCUGCCGUCGUCGAGCAAGACCAAGAGGUUGUGAUUGAACUGACCAGAUGAACGAUUCAUCGUCUGAACUGUUCUGACUGUGUUCACUAAUGCUGCAGAUACCUUAAUGAAGGCAGUGAUGGUGACAAUGCUCCAGAAACAAGCAGUGAUGUAAGCAAUGAGAGUGACAAUGACAAUGACAAUGAAAGGUCUAUUGGAAGAACAACCCAAUGUUUAGUAGAAAAUAUUUGCACCGAUCAAGAAAGGUUGUCCAGUGAUGACUGUGAUUCCAGUAACCAGGAACCUCCCCCUGUUUUCCAAUAUAUGGAGCAUGAUGCACCAUAUGGAAGACAACCAUUAGCAGAUAUGAUUUCAGUAUUUGCAUGUAAGUUUCCUGAUCUAAAUACAUACAAGAGCUGUGAUCUUCUCCCGUCCAGUUGGAUCUCUGUAGCCUGGUAUCCCAUAUACCGGAUACCAACAGGACCUACGCUACAAGAUCUAGAUGCUUGCUUUUUAACAUUCCAUUCAUUGUCAACAACACCUGAUGGUACGAUAAGCGGUUGUCCUGAGACAAAUAACUUACAUAACAGUAAAGUUGCUUCUGUUCCUGGGAAGAUCACACUGCCUCUGAUCGGCCUAGCAUCUUACAAAUUAAAUGGUUCCUUGUGGACGUCAAAUCAGCACCAUGAGCAGCAGUUGACUACGUCGCUUCUGAAAGCUGCUGAUGACUGGCUUUGCCAGCGGCAAGUAGAUCACCCAGAUUACCGCUUCUUCCUCACACACUAAAUUGGAUGUCCAUCCAAACUACCUACCUACUGAACAUCACAGCUCGAUGCCCACUAUUUUAUUCAAUGAACUUACAUUAUCACUUUAUAUAGUCCACAAUCACAAGUACCAGUAUGCUCUGUAAUAUCAUUUUUGGGGCUUAGUUUAUGUUAGUCCCAUAUUGGUAUCUAGGCAGGAUUAGUUGGUGACUGUUUUGGGGUUGUACUGUAGGAACCAAUUAGACAUAGAUCACCUAUAUUACGUUCAGUACCAAUUGCGGGUGUGGGUGAUCUGCAAUCGGGCUAAGUAGGAGAUUGAUUGGCAAUAUACAUUUGGCGUACUUCAAAGGCGGUUCUAGGAUAUAUUGAUGAUGGCGAUAAAAAUAUUUUUCUACUUCC